UUCUAUGGCGGGCGGUGCGCGGGGGCCUUCGGGCCCACCGGACCUUUGGCCGGCACGCCAACCGCGUACCGUCCGUCACCCCA
rnacentral:antisense_RNA from 1 species